rnacentral:sRNA from 2 species
CGAUUCGAGCGCAGCGAGAAAGCGUUGCCGUAGGCAACGACCCGAAGGGCGAAGCGCGCAGCGCUGAGUAAUCCUUCCCCCGUCAUCC